GCUGGGCAUGGUGGUGUGUGCCUGUAAUCCCAGCUACUCAGGAGGCUGAGGCAGGAGAAUUGCCUGAACCCAGGAGGUGGAGGUUGCGAUGAGCCGAGAUAGCGCCAUUGCACUCCAGCCUGGGUAACAAGAGCGAAACUCCGUCUCAAAAAAAAUAAAAAAUAAAUAAAUAAAAAUAAAUGAAGUCUUGCUCUUUCACCAGGCUGGAGUGCAGUGGCAUGAUUUCAGCUCACUGUAAACUCAGCCUCCAGGGUUCAAGCCAUUCUCCUGCCUCAG
rnacentral:sRNA from 1 species